rnacentral:rRNA from 1 species
AUACGGAGGGUGCAAGCGUUACUCGGAAUCACUGGGCGUAAAGCGCGCGCAGGCGGCUAUUUAAGUUGGAUGUGAAAGCCUAUGGCUCAACCAUAGAACUGCAUCCAAAACUAUUUAGCUAGAGUGUGGGAGAGGAAGAUGGAAUUAGUUGUGUAGGGGUAAAAUCCGUAGAGAUAACUAGGAAUACCAAAAGCGAAGGCAAUCUUCUGGAACACUACUGACGCUGAGGCGCGAAAGCGUGGGGAGCAAACGGGAUUAGAUACCCCAGUAGUCC